rnacentral:rRNA from 1 species
UACGGAGGGUGCAAGCGUUAUCCGGAUUCACUGGGUUUAAAGGGAGCGUAGGAGGGCAGGUAAGUCAGUGGUGAAAUCUUCGAGCUUAACUCGGAAACUGCCGUUGAUACUAUCUGUCUUGAAUACCGUGGAGAUGAGCGGAAUAUGUCAUGUAGCGGUGAAAUGCUUAGAUAUGAACAUAGAACACCAAUUGCGAAGGCAGCUCGUUACACGAAUAUUGACUCUGAGGCUCGAAAGCGUGGGGAUCAAACAGG